CUGCAAACGGAAAGAGCGUUCUG
rnacentral:piRNA from 1 species